UAUGAAAAUAAGCCCUGCAAGACUCAUAGGCUGACUAUUCCCCUACCGGAUUAUACUUCAAGAAUGGAAAUGGGACAUCACAGACUCACUUCACAUACUUUCUGCUUCUCUUUAAAAUUUUCAAAUUCAACGUUUUCAAUUAGAUCCAGAAACAAAAUCUCUGUUCUGCUUUACUCAGACAGCACAGCACCUUCUUUGAUGUAGACAUGCUCUACAGGCAGUUCUUUGCCUAUAUCUGCUAUGUCACACAAUGGAUUCUAAAGUUCUUCAAAGAGAUCCUUUUAUCUCUUCUUCUGACCAUGAUAUCAGUGUCUUCCUUGCAUGAGUUCUUCAUAAAAUAGUCUUUUAGAUUUACUGAAAAGACUAACUUGCCUAAUAAAAAUACAAGACAAAAUUUGAAGAUUGAUCAAUGAGAGGACAAGAACUCCAGUCAGAGAAUA